GACGAACGCUGGCGGCGUGCUUAACACAUGCAAGUCGAACGGAAAGGCCCUGCUUUUGUGGGGUGCUCGAGUGGCGAACGGGUGAGUAACACGUGAGUAACCUGCCCUUGACUUUGGGAUAACUUCAGGAAACUGGGGCUAAUACCGGAUAGGAGCUCCUGCUGCAUGGUGGGGGUUGGAAAGUUUCGGCGGUUGGGGAUGGACUCGCGGCUUAUCAGCUUGUUGGUGGGGUAGUGGCUUACCAAGGCUUUGACGGGUAGCCGGCCUGAGAGGGUGACCGGCGACAUGGGGACUGAGAUACGGCCCAGACUCCUACGGGAGGCAGCAGUGGGGAAUAUGGCACAAUGGGCGGAAGCCUGAGGCAGCAACGCCGCGUGCGGGAUGACGGCCUUCGGGUUGUAAACCGCUUUCGCCUGUGACGAAGCGUGAGUGACGGUAAUGGGUAAAGAAGCACCGGCUAACUACGUG
rnacentral:rRNA from 1 species